AGGGUUGUAGUUUAAUAAUAACAUUUGAUUUGCAUUCAAAAAAUAUUGAAUUUAUCUUCAAUCUACCUUA
rnacentral:tRNA from 1 species